CCGGAGCUGCAUCCCCUGGGGAGGAGCCGUAGUAGGGCAGGAAGCACUGCUGCCCGUGGAGCAGUGGGCUUCGUGAAAGGGAGCCAUAUUGAAGCAGUGCUCGAGGAGCUGCGCCCUUGGGAAGCCGAUACAGAGAUGAAAAAUUAUUCUAAUUAUACGUGAAGAAGUAUGAAGCUGCUGGAGCAGGCAGUCAGGACACUGGUGUAUCUGCAUAGGACUGUUCUGUAUACUGCAAAAAUGUAAGUUUUCCUGUAGAGGCCAUGGUGUUAACCUGAAGGCUGCUAUGAUGUCUCCCUGGUACCUUCUGCAGGCUGAACAACUGCAGCACUCAGCCUUUAUGGGAGAAGUUCUCCAGCCUCUGAUCAUCCUCGUGGCCCUCUUCUGGACUUGCUCCAAUAAGUCCAUUCUUAUGUUGGAGAUCCCAGAGCUAAAUGUAGUGCUACAGAUGGGAUUCCAUGAAUUUUAAGGGCACUUCACUUUAAGAGCAGCAGUAACGGCGACAGGAACAGCAGAAGCAGCAGCAGCAGGGAUGCUGCCUGUGUAGCUAUGAGAAGUAUUUCAGUAAUGAAAGGGAUAAUUGUGGCUCCCUGCCUCUGUUGUAAUUGAAAAUCUAGUAUAGUGCCUUUUCCAUUUAACUUUAUUGCUUGAGUUGAAAUCAUUGUAGAGGAGGGAAAGCAACAGUAGAAUAAUGUCUCUAAUGUUGCUUUCCUGUCCAUUCACCAGUUUGAAACCUAACAUCAAUGUUAAAAGGAUGAGCAAUUGGAUAUAUUCAAUUAUUCAAUAGGAAAAGAACUAUGAUUAUAAAUUUUGGUAAUAAAAAAGUAUUACUUACUGGGCUGGCCAAAUAUUUACUUACUAAUUCUGGCUACCAGAUUUCACUGAUGAGGUAGAAAACAAGUAACAUGUUACUACAGUGGUUCAGGUAAUUUAUGCUGAAUUACAAUGGAGAACUAUGUCACUAUUGUAAUUGCAAUACAUGAAAAAAGAUGGCUAAAGCUGUUCUAUCAACUGACGAAGGACAACCUUAAAUUUGCAAAAUGCUAAAUAUUUUUGCUUCCCAUAGUCUUAAUUAAUAAGGGCAUGCAGUG